rnacentral:tRNA from 2 species
GGAGGGGUGGCCGAGUGGCCGAAGGCGGCGGUUUGCUAAACCGUUAGACGGGUUAAACCGUCUCGUGGGUUCGAAUCCCAUCCCCUCCG